GCGCCCGUAGUUCAAUUGGAUAGAACGUCUGACUACGGAUCAGAAGGUUGGGGGUUCGAGUCCUCCCGGGCGCACCA
rnacentral:tRNA from 1 species